GUCUUUGCUUCGGCAAGACAUACACUAAAAUUGGAACGAUACAGAGAAGAUAAGCAUGGCCUCGCGCAAGGAUGACACGCAAAAUCGCGAAGCGUUCCACAUAUUU
rnacentral:snRNA from 2 species